rnacentral:rRNA from 1 species
CGGUGGUCACAGCACCAGGGAAACGCCCGGUCCCAUCCCGAACCCGGAAGCUAAGCCUGGUAGCGCCGAUGGUACUGCAGCCGAAGGGCUGUGGGAGAGUAGGACGCCGCCGAACA